GGUGAAAAGCACCCCGGAAGGGGAGUGAAAUAGAACCUGAAACCGUGUGCUUACAAGUAGUCAGAGCCCGUUAAUGGGUGAUGGCGUGCCUUUUGUAGAAUGAACCGGCGAGUUACGAUUUGAUGCAAGGUUAAGCAGUAAAUGUGGAGCCGUAGCGAAAGCGAGUCUGAAUAGGGCGUUUAGUAUUUGGUCGUAGACCCGAAACCAGGUGAUCUACCCUUGGUCAGGUUGAAGUUCAGGUAACACUGAAUGGAGGACCGAACCGACUUACGUUGAAAAGUGAGCGGAUGAACUGAGGGUAGCGGAGAAAUUCCAAUCGAACCUGGAGAUAGCUGGUUCUCUCCGAAAUAGCUUUAGGGCUAGCCUCAAGUGAUGAUUAUUGGAGGUAGAGCACUGUUUGGACGAGGGGCCCCUCUCGGGUUACCGAAUUCAGACAAACUCCGAAUGCCAAUUAAUUUAACUUGGGAGUCAGAACAUGGGUGAUAAGGUCCGUGUUCGAAAGGGAAACAGCCCAGACCACCAGCUAAGGUCCCAAAAUAUAUGUUAAGUGGAAAAGGAUGUGGCGUUGCCCAGACAACUAGGAUGUUGGCUUAGAAGCAGCCAUCAUUUAAAGAGUGCGUAAUAGCUCACUAGUCGAGUGACACUGCGCCGAAAAUGUACCGGGGCUAAACAUAUUACCGAAGCUGUGGAUUGUCCUUUGGACAAUGGUAGGAG
rnacentral:rRNA from 1 species